AACGCUAGCUACAGGCUUAACACAUGCAAGUCGAGGGGCAGCAUGGUCUUAGUUUGCUAAGGCCGAUGGCGACCGGCGCACGGGUGAGUAACACGUAUCCAACCUGCCGUCUACUCUUGGACAGCCUUCUGAAAGGAAGAUUAAUACAAGAUGGCAUCAUGAGUCCGCAUGUUCACAUGAUUAAAGGUAUUCCGGUAGACGAUGGGGAUGCGUUCCAUUAGAUAGUAGGCGGGGUAACGGCCCACCUAGUCUUCGAUGGAUAGGGGUUCUGAGAGGAAGGUCCCCCACAUUGGAACUGAGACACGGUCCAAACUCCUACGGGAGGCAGCAGUGAGGAAUAUUGGUCAAUGGGCGAGAGCCUGAACCAGCCAAGUAGCGUGAAGGAUGACUGCCCUAUGGGUUGUAAACUUCUUUUAUAAAGGAAUAAAGUCGGGUAUGCAUACCCGUUUGCAUGUACUUUAUGAAUAAGGAUCGGCUAACUCCGUGCCAGCAGCCGCGGUAAUACGGAGGAUCCGAGCGUUAUCCGGAUUUAUUGGGUUUAAAGGGAGCGUAGAUGGAUGUUUAAGUCAGUUGUGAAAGUUUGCGGCUCAACCGUAAAAUUGCAGUUGAUACUGGAUGUCUUGAGUGCAGUUGAGGCAGGCGGAAUUCGUGGUGUAGCGGUGAAAUGCUUAGAUAUCACGAAGAACUCCGAUUGCGAAGGCAGCCUGCUAAGCUGCAACUGACAUUGAGGCUCGAAAGUGUGGGUAUCAAACAGGAUUAGAUACCCUGGUAGUCCACACGGUAAACGAUGAAUACUCGCUGUUUGCGAUAUACUGCAAGCGGCCAAGCGAAAGCGUUAAGUAUUCCACCUGGGGAGUACGCCGGCAACGGUGAAACUCAAAGGAAUUGACGGGGGCCCGCACAAGCGGAGGAACAUGUGGUUUAAUUCGAUGAUACGCGAGGAACCUUACCCGGGCUUAAAUUGCAGAUGAAUUACGGUGAAAGCCGUAAGCCGCAAGGCAUCUGUGAAGGUGCUGCAUGGUUGUCGUCAGCUCGUGCCGUGAGGUGUCGGCUUAAGUGCCAUAACGAGCGCAACCCUUGUUGUCAGUUACUAACAGGUUCCGCUGAGGACUCUGACAAGACUGCCAUCGUAAGAUGUGAGGAAGGUGGGGAUGACGUCAAAUCAGCACGGCCCUUACGUCCGGGGCUACACACGUGUUACAAUGGGGGGUACAGAGGGCCGCUACCACGCGAGUGGAUGCCAAUCCCCAAAACCUCUCUCAGUUCGGACUGGAGUCUGCAACCCGACUCCACGAAGCUGGAUUCGCUAGUAAUCGCGCAUCAGCCACGGCGCGGUGAAUACGUUCCCGGGCCUUGUACACACCGCCCGUCAAGCCAUGGGAGCCGGGGGUACCUGAAGUGCGUAACCGCGAGGAGCGCCCUAGGGUAAAACUGGUGACUGGGGC
rnacentral:rRNA from 1 species